rnacentral:tRNA from 1 species
GGGCGAAUGACGGAAUGGCAUACGUGUUAGAUUCAAAAUCUAAAUUUUGUGGGUUCAAAUCCCACUUCGCCUA